AUUGAACGCUAGCGGCAUGCUUAACACAUGCAAGUCGAACGGCAGCACGGGAGCAAUCCUGGUGGCGAGUGGCGAACGGGUGAGUAAAGUAUCGGAACGUGCCCAGUCGUGGGGGAUAACGUAGCGAAAGUUACGCUAAUACCGCAUACGAUCUAUGGAUGAAAGCGGGGGAUCGCAAGACCUCGCGCGAUUGGAGCGGCCGAUAUCAGAUUAGGUAGUUGGUGGGGUAAAGGCUCACCAAGCCGGCGAUCUGUAGCUGGUCUGAGAGGACGACCAGCCACACUGGGACUGAGACACGGCCCAGACUCCUACGGGAGGCAGCAGUGGGGAAUUUUGGACAAUGGGCGAAAGCCUGAUCCAGCCAUGCCGCGUGCAGGAUGAAGGCCUUCGGGUUGUAAACUGCUUUUGUACGGAACGAAAAGGUUUGGCCUAAUAAGCUGAGCUCAUGACGGUACCGUAAGAAUAAGCACCGACUAACUACGUGCCAGCAGCCGCCGUAA
rnacentral:rRNA from 1 species